rnacentral:rRNA from 1 species
UACGUAGGGUGCGAGCGUUGUCCGGAAUUACUGGGCGUAAAGGGCUCGUAGGCGGCCAACUAAGUCAGACGUGAAAUCCCUCGGCUUAACCGGGGAACUGCGUCUGAUACUGGAUGGCUCGAGUUUGGGAGAGGGAUGCGGAAUUCCAGGUGUAGCGGUGAAAUGCGUAGAUAUCUGGAGGAACACCGGUGGCGAAAGCGGCUCACUGGACCACAACUGACGCUGAGGCGCGAAAGCUAGGGGAGCAAACAGG